rnacentral:rRNA from 1 species
UACGUAGGGGGCAAGCGUUGUCCGGAUUUAUUGGGCGUAAAGAGCGUGUAGGCGGCCUGAAAGGUCAGCUGUGAAAACUCGAGGCUCAACCUCGAGACGUCGGUUGAAACCAUCUGGCUAGAGUCCGGAAGAGGAGUGUGGAAUUCCCGGUGUAGCGGUGAAAUGCGCAGAUAUCGGGAAGAACACCCGUGGCGAAGGCGGCAAUCUGGGACGGUACUGACGCUGAGACGCGAAAGCGUGGGGAGCGAACAGG